CAUGGGGGGCAGACCCUUUAUUAGCCUUGCCUUAAUGGGCAGCCAAUGCAAGUCUGUGAGUGCAGGUGUUAUUCUCUCACGGGGGGCAGACCCUUUAUUAGCCUUGCCUUAAUGGACAGCCAAUGCAAGUCUGUGAGUGCAGGUGUUAUUCUCUCAUGGGGGGCAGACCCUUUAUUAGCCUUGCCUUAAUGGACAGCCAAUGCAAGUCUGUGAGUGCAGGUGUUAUUCUCUCAUGGGGGGCAGACCCUUUAUUAGCCUUGCCUUAAUGGGCAGCCAAUGCAAGUCUGUGAGUGCAGGUGUUAUUCUCUCAUGGGGGGCAGACCCUUUAUUAGCCUUGCCUUAAUGGACAGCCAAUGCAAGUCUGUGAGUGCAGGUGUUAUUCUCUCACGGGGGGGCAGACCCUUUGUUAGCCUUGCCUUAAUGGACAGCCAAUGCAAGUCUGUAAGUGCAGGUGUUAUUCUCUCAUGGGGGGCAGACCCUUUAUUAGCCUUGCCUUAAUGGACAGCCAAUGCAAGUCUGUGAGUGCAGGUGUUAUUCUCUCACGGGGGGCAGACCCUUUAUUAGCCUUGCCUUAAUGGACAGCCAAUGCAAGUCUAUAAGUGCAGGUGUUAUUCUCUCAUGGGGGGCAGACCCUUUGUUAGCCUUGCCUUAAUGGACAGCCAAUGCAAGUCUGUGAGUGCAGGUGUUAUUCUCUCACCAGACCCUUUGUUAGCCUUGCCUUAAUGGACAGCCAAUGCAAGUCUGUGAGUGCAGGUGUUAUUCUCUCACCAGACCCUUUGUUAGCCUUGCAGCUCUGUUCAUAACAAGUUGUAGUUUCUUCAGUAGAUAUUUAUGAAGGCCAUAAUAAAGUGAGUUACAAUAAUCCAGCUUU